rnacentral:tRNA from 3 species
GGCCAGGUAGCUCAGUCGGUAGAGCAGUGGACUGAAAAUCCGCGUGUCGGUGGUUCGAUUCCGCCCCUGGCCACCA